rnacentral:lncRNA from 1 species
AUGGUGAAAAAAAUUAGUCAACUAAGAUCUGAGUACUAGCUGGCUGGUGAGAGGAGGUCUUGCAUUAUGCUAAACAGUUGCUUGUGCUAUCUAUUCAUUCCCAUUUUACUACAUGCAGCCCUGCCCCAAGCACAGAGCUGAUUUCUUUUGCAUGGCAAGCUAUAGAUGGGUACAAAGUUAGUCCCAAAGUCAUGAGACCUGGCUUCUAGUACUUGUUCUCUCCGAGUCCAUUGGGCAACCUUGAGUGAUUAUGACUGCUAUAAUUUUUGAGUACUCAUAUAUUCCAUGCACUCAUCUUGCAUUCUGGGAAUUAAACGAUCUGCAUUGGGAAACGCCCAUUUGUAGAUGUUAUUUUUAGACUUCAAUCCUUUUUAUAUUUCCUUGAGUUUAUAUUUCAGCAAGACUGAUUAAUGAAUAAAUGGAUCAUUAUUAGGCAUAAUUUAAUUAAGAUUUAUAAGGAUCAUCUAGAAUUAUCUCAAUAUUUUUCAAUACAUUCACCUUACUUUUUACACCUGGUAAACAUAAGAUAUCUUGAGUCUUCCAGGGGCCAUAAUGUUUGUCAGCAGCAGUCUUGGGGGCAGGUAUGGUAUGUUUCAAAUAAUGCAUAAAGUUUAAAUGCUAGACCUUUUCCUAUAUUUUUCUGUUUGGUGUGAAUUUGUCAAAGUGGUACAUUUAUCACCGUUUUUAAAGGAUAAUGUAGUUGGCUGAAUCUCAAUAAUAUGGGAGACAGUUGUAAACUUUGGAAUGAUUUUUACCUUGUAGAAUUAAAAACUUUCCCAUGAACAUUGCCUGCUGGUGCAUAUAGUUGCCACAUGUGGGCCAUGUCUCUAUAGUGCUUUGCUAGCUAUUGUAUCUAAGCACUAAUGGAUAUUGAGUUCUGCCUCUGCAUUUUCUGCAAGAUGGCACUGCAAUUGAAAGUUAAAGGUCUGUGUAAUUUUUUUAAAGGUUAAAUUAACCUGAAACAGAAGAAAACUAAAGCUAACCUUAGCUGCUUUCUUGGCUCUGUUCUCUUGGUUUUUAAUGGGAUCAGGGUGUUUCAUGGAGCAUAGGAAUGUUUGGUGUUUCUUGCAUGAGCUGUACCUUAGCCAUUAUCUUUCAUAGUCUCCAACAAUCAAACAAAGGGAGCCAAUUCUCUAUUUCAAUCUUGUGCCUUUGUUUGAUGUUUAUUUGAUGAUUGACUUUUAAAACCAACCCUGACUGUUGAGAUCUCACUAUUGUAAGUCAAAGUGAGAGUAAUGAAAAUAUAAAUGUUUCCCUUCUGUUUUGGGGAGAAGGGUGAGUAAAAAGAAUGACCCUGAUGACUUUCAUUGUACUUAGUAUAAAAGAAGAGAAGCCAUCACAUUGUCCAUAUAAUGCAGAUAGCAUGUGGCAUAGGUUGGGAUUUGAUACAUGUCCAAUAUAUGAGUGAGAAGUACGAAGAUGUCAGAAAAGAGAAUCAAGAGCUAGAUUCAUGGGCAACUAGCAAAGGACUAUCACAUAUUUCCUUAAAUAUUAUGCAUUCUUGAGAGAUAAUGUAGUAUUCUAAUUAUAUUAGAAUUUAAAUCUAACUGAUUUUAUGCUAAUGAACUUAGAAUGUAGUACUAUAAUCCAUGACAUUAUCAAUUGUAGCUUGAUUUUACCCAUGUUGGGGCACACCUAUGUCCAUUCUACUAUGUGUUUUUUGACUAGCCAAGCUUUUUCUAUCUCUGGUAAAAAAUAGAGAAUUCUAUAAAGUUAAUGUGAGGAAAACUGUUUAGGUAAAUGUAAAACAGUGAGAUCCUUCUCUCAAGCCCCUGGGUGGGAUGGAGAGAGAAAACAACGACCCCUAGGCAAUUUUCUGGUGAGAAUUACAAGGUACAAGAUUAGCUCAACUGGUUCCAGCAUCACAUGGGCCUUCCUAGCAUUAAUAAUUACACACAUAUAUUAUACUCAAUAAACACUCCUUAAAGUCUGAAGUUGAAUAAUUAAAUAGAAUAAUAGUCCCCUUACUAUCCAAAGCUUUGGAUGCCUAUGUUGAAGUGCAAUUCAAGGACAGUAAAUGAAAAAUUCCAGAAAUUGGAAAUUCAUAAGCUUUAAACUUCAUUGUGAAGCCUUGUAUCAUCAUUCCCUUUCCAUAUGGAGUUGUGAGCGAUUGCUCUCUCCAGUGUAUCCAUGUAGUAAAGCUAUCCAUCCAUUACUCAUUUAGUAGCUUUCUUCAUUGUCAGACAGACUGUUGCAGGCAAUAGCCCUUGACUAAGCUUUAUUUUAUUUAAUAAUGGCCUCAAAGUACAGGAGCAGCAAUGCUUGGAAAAGAAGCUAUAAAGUGAUAAGCUGAAAGUCUCUACUU